AACGAACGCUGGCGGCAGGCUUAACACAUGCAAGUCGAACGGGCGUAGCAAUACGUCAGUGGCAGACGGGUGAGUAACACGUGGGAACCUUCCUAGGGGUACGGAACAACUCAGGGAAACUUGAGCUAAUACCGUAUACGUCCGUAAGGAGAAAGAUUCAUCGCCCCUAGACGGGCCCGCGUCGGAUUAGGUAGUUGGUGGGGUAACGGCCUACCAAGCCUACGAUCCGUAGCUGAUCUGAGAGGAUGAUCAGCCACACUGGGACUGAGACACGGCCCAGACUCCUACGGGAGGCAGCAGUGGGGAAUCUUGGACAAUGGGCGCAAGCCUGAUCCAGCCAUGCCGCGUGAGUGAAGAAGGCCUUAGGGUUGUAAACCUCUUUCAGCCCUGACGAAGCGAAAGUGACGGUAGGGGCAGAAGAAGCACCGGCCAACUACGUGCCAGCCGCCGCGGUAAU
rnacentral:rRNA from 1 species